rnacentral:rRNA from 1 species
UAGCGGAGCGUGUGGUUUAAUUCGAUGCAACGCGAAGAACCUUACCAAGGCUUGACAUGCUUGAAGUAGAAACUUGAAAGAGAGACGACCUGUAUCCAAUCAGGAGCUUGCACAGGUGCUGCAUGGCUGUCGUCAGCUCGUGCCGUGAGGUGUUAGGUUAAGUCCUGCAACGAGCGCAACCCUCAUUGCUAGUUAAAUUCUCUAGCGAUACUGCCCGUAUAACGUGGAGGAAGGUGAGGAUGACGUCAAGUCAGCAUGGCCCUUACGCCUUGGGCUACACACACGCUACAAUGGAUGAUACAGAGGGUCGCUAAGAAGCGAUUCGGAGCUAAUCCCUAAAAUCAUCCUCAGUUCAGAUUGUAGACUGAAACUGUCUACAUGAAGUAGGAGUUGCUAGUAACCGCAUAA